GCCGCUGUGGCUUAGUGGUAUAGCGGCUGAUUCGUAAUCAGCAGAUCGGGGGUUCGAAUCCCUCCAGCGGCU
rnacentral:tRNA from 1 species